AACGAAGGGGGCUAGCGUUGUUCGGAAUCACUGGGCGUAAAGGGCGCGUAGGCGGCCGCUCAAGUCGGGGGUGAAAGCCUGUGGCUUAACCACAGAAUUGCCUUCGAUACUGUUUGGCUUGAGACCGGAAGAGGUGAGUGGAACUGCGAGUGUAGAGGUGAAAUUCGUAGAUAUUCGCAAGAACACCAGUGGCGAAGGCGGCUCACUGGUCCGGUUCUGACGCUGAGGCGCGAAAGCGUGGGGAGCAAACAGG
rnacentral:rRNA from 1 species